GUUUGGGCCUUGCUUGCGCAGGAUAGGUGGGAGGCUUUGAAGAUAUUCUUGCGGGAAUAUUGGAGCCAAUGGUGAGAUACCACUCUAGCAUGGCUAAAAUUCUAACUUUGAACCGUUAUCCGGUCGAAGAACAGUUUCAGGUGGGCAGUUUGACUGGGGCGGUCGCCUCCUAAAAGGUAACGGAGGCGUGCAAAGGUUCCCUCAGGCUGGUCGGACAUCAGUCGUAGAGUGUAAAGGCAUAAGGGAGCUUGACUGCGAGACCUACAAGUCGAGCAGAGACGAAAGUCGGCCUUAGUGAUCCGACGGUUCCGAGUGGGAGGGCCGUCGCUCAACGGAUAAAAGUUACUCUAGGGAUAACA
rnacentral:rRNA from 1 species